rnacentral:rRNA from 1 species
AGUGAACGCUGGCGGUAGGCCUAACACAUGCAAGUCGAACGGCAGCACAGUAAGAGCUUGCUCUUACGGGUGGCGAGUGGCGGACGGGUGAGGAAUACAUCGGAAUCUACUUUUUCGUGGGGGAUAACGUAGGGAAACUUACGCUAAUACCGCAUACGACCUACGGGUGAAAGCAGGGGAUCUUCGGACCUUGCGCGAUUGAAUGAGCCGAUGUCGGAUUAGCUAGUUGGCGGGGUAAAGGCCCACCAAGGCGACGAUCCGUAGCUGGUCUGAGAGGAUGAUCAGCCACACUGGAACUGAGACACGGUCCAGACUCCUACGGGAGGCAGCAGUGGGGAAUAUUGGACAAUGGGCGCAAGCCUGAUCCAGCCAUACCGCGUGGGUGAAGGAGGCCUUCGGGUUGCAAAGCCCUUUUGUUGGGAAAGAAAAGCAGCAGGUUAAUACCCCGCUGUUCUGACGGUACCCAAAGAAUAAGCACCGGCUAACUUCGUG